GGUUUGAUCAUGGCUCAGAUUGAACGCUGGCGGGAUGCUUUACACAUGCAAGUCGAACGGCAGCACGGACUUCGGUCUGGUGGCGAGUGGCGAACGGGUGAGGCACGUAUCGGAACGUGCCUAGUAGCGGGGGAUAAUCACGUGAAAGCGUAGCUAAUACCGCACAUUGCCCCUUCGGGGGAAAGCGGGGACCUUCGGGCCUCGCACUAUUAGAGCGGCCGAUAUCGGAUUAGCUGAAGGUGGUGGGUAACGGCUCUGCCGGCGAUGAUCCGUAGCUGGUUUGAGAGGACGACCAGCCACACGCCAGACCGGGAGAUAUGCCCAGACUCCUACGGAGGCAGUGGGGAAUUUUGGACAAUGGGGAAACCUCGAUCCAGCCAUCCUGCGUGUGCGAUGAAGGCCUUCGGAUUGUAAAGCACUUUUGGCAGGAAAGAAACGGCACGGAUAAUACCCCGUGCAACUGACGGUACCUGCAGAAUAAGCACCGGCUAACUACGUGCCAGCAGCCGCGGUAAUACGUAGGGUGGCGUUAACUGAAUUACUUGGCGUAAAGCGUGCGCAGGCGGUUCGGAAAGAAAGAUGUGAAAUCCCAGAGCUUAACUUUGGAACUGCAUUUUUAACUACCGAGCUAGAGUGUGUCAGAGGGAGGUGGAAUUCCGCGUGUAGCAGUGAAAUGCGUAGAUAUGCGGAGGAACACCGAUGGCGAAGGCAGCCUCUGGGAUAACACUGACGCUCAUGCACGAAAGCGUGGGGAGCAAACAGGAUUAGAUACCCUGGUAGUCCACGCCCUAAACGAUGUCAACUAGCUGUUGGGGCCUUCGGGCCCGGUAGCGCAGCGCCAACGCGUGAAGUUGAGACCGCCUGGGGAGUACGGUCGCAAGAUUAAAACUCAAAGGAAUUGACGGGGACCCGCACAAGCGGUGGAUGAUGUGGAUUAAUUCGAUGCAACGCGAAAACCUUACCUACUCCUUGACAUGUCUGGAACUUGGCAGAUUUGGGGAGUGCUCGCAAGAGAACCGGAACACAGGUGCUGCAUGGCUGUCGUCAGCUCGUGUCGUGAGACGUUGUGGUUGGUCCUUAAACGAGCGCAACCCGCUGGUUGCUACGAAAGGGACUCCCCACGAGACUGCCGGUGACAAACCGGAGGAAGGUGGGGAUGACGUCAAGUCCUCAUGGCCCUUAUGGGUAGGGCUUAGCCAUCGUCAUACAAUGGUCGGGACAGAGAGGGUCGCUAACCCGCGAGGGGGAGCUAAUCCCAGAAACCCGACGUCAGAAAGUCCGGAUCGCAGUCUGCACCGACUGCGUGAAGUCGGGAAUCGCUAGUAAUCGCGGAUCAGCAUGUCGCGGUGAAUACGUUCCCGGGUCUUGUACACACCGCCCGUCACACCAUGGGAGUGGGUUUUACCAGAAGCAGUUAGCCUAACCGUAUGAGGGCGAUUACCACGGUAGGAUUCAUGACCGGGGUGAAGUCGUAACAAGGUAG
rnacentral:rRNA from 1 species